rnacentral:rRNA from 1 species
GACGAACGCUGGCGGCGUGCUUAACACAUGCAAGUCGAACGGAAAGGCCUGCUUUCCCUUGUGGAUUGCGGGUACUCGAGUGGCUAACGGGUGAGUAACACGUGAGUGAUCUGCCCCCAACUUGGUUAUAAGCCUGGGAAACUGGGUCUAAUUCCCGAUAGGACUGCAGGGUGGUGCCUGUGGUGGAAAACGUUUUUCUAGUUGUUGGGGAUGAGCUCGCGGCCUAUCAGCUUGUUGGUGGGGUAAUGUCCUACCAAGGCGGCGACGGGUAGCCGGCCGGGGAGGGGGGACGGCCACAUUGGGACAGAGAUACGGCCCAGACUCCUACGGGAGGCAGCAGUGGGGAAUAUUGGACAAUGGGCGGAAGCCUGAAGCAGCGACGCAGCGUGGGGGAUGACGGCAUUCGGGUUGUAAACUCCUUGCGACCGAGAGGAAGCCACGUGGUUGGAAGGGUGGUGACGGUAGUGGUAGAAGAAGCACCGGCUAACUACGUG